ACCUCCCCUUGCGGGCGGGAUUUCUAGCGUCGCGGCGGAGCGCAGGGCCUCGCGGCCUUCCGGGCAGCGGGCAGGAAACUGGAAGGGGUUCCUGAGCCCGCGAAUCUGCAGGGGAAGUAGAAGGACGUCUGUGUGUGCCCUUCUUCAAGUGUCUGGAGCUCAGAGAUGCAGCCCAGGGGAGGGAACAGUGACUAGUUAAGGAGGCCAUGCUUACUGUUGCUUCCAGAGUCCAUGUCAACACUGAGUCUUCAGCUGCUGGUGGCAGCUGCUCAGCAGACCCUGGGCAUGGGGAGGAGCCGGGGCCCACCCCGAGCCGUGUGCCUUCAUCUAGCCGGAGAGGUGCUGGCUGUGGCCAGGGGACUUAAGCCAGCUCUGCUCUAUGAUUGCAACUGUGCAGGGGCAGCAGAGCUCCAGAGCUAUCUGGAGCAGCUGCAGGGCCUGGGCUUCCCGACCCGGGGGCUUCACAUUCUUGAGAUUGGAGAAAACAGCCUGAUUGUCUGUCCUGAGCGUGUGUGUCAGCACUUGGAGCAGGUGCUGCUUGGUGCCGUAGCCUUUGUGGAUGUUUCCAGCUCUCAGCCUCACCCUUCCAUCUGCUCCCUGGACCAGCUUCAGGACUUGAAGGCUCUCCUGGCUGAGAUCGUCACUCAUUUGCAGGGACUGAAGACGGACCUGUCCCUGGCAGUCUCCAGCAGCAGGCUCCGUUCCUCAGACUGGAAUCUCUGUACUGUGUUUGGGAUCCUCCUGGGCUAUCCUGUCCCCUAUACCUUUCACAUGAGCCAGGGAGGUGACAAUUGCUUAGCCCUGACUCCACUACGGGUAUUCACUGCCCGGAUCUCUUGGCGACACAGUCAACCACCAGUCUUGCUCUAUUCCUUUAGCGUCCCAGAGAGCUUGUUCCCGGCCCUGAGGGACAUUCUAAAUACUUGGGAGAAGGACCUUAGAACUCGAUGUAGGACUCAGAAUGACUUUGCUGACCUCAGCAUCUCCUCCAAGGUGGUCACCCUGCCUGCUGUGGCCCUCUGACUGUAACUCUUUCCUCGCAUAGAAGGUGCUCGCCCUGUGGCAAGCCUUGGGUUGGUGGAGGAGAAAAAGCAUGUUAUACCCGUUUCUCACUUUGUUACUCCCAGAGGAUCAAACCACUUUACUAGGGGUCCCUGGCCUCUAAGCCAACGUCACUGGCCCAGGGAGCCACAGCCAGCGGGGAAAGUGACUGUGAUGAGAAAACAGAAGGCCCUGUGCUCUGGAUAAGUGAGGCGUGUUUGCCCACUCCAGAUAUAUGAAGAAUCCUUGGGAUGCCAAGGCAGCAGACCCUGAGGGCUGAGAGUGAGCGUUUCUCCUGUUCCUGGAGCUGUAAGGACUGACUCUGAAGAAGACCUGUCGGGAAACACAAGGAGCUUGCCUGUGCUGGCGUGUCGACUGCGAAGAGUGUCUUUUCAGAACUCUGCUUGAAAGCGUACUUCUUAACCGUGUCCCCACCUCUAGUUGGCUGAAUUGUCACCCCCCCUUCCCCGAUUCACAUGUUGUCGUCCUAACCCCUAGGCCUUCAAAACGUGACCCUGUUUGGAGAUGGGUCCUCCACGGAGGAGGUGGAUUGGGGCAUUAGGAUGGGUCCUAACCUGACACGACUGGCAUCCUCAGAGAAGGGAGAGUUUGGGCGCAGAGGUGGCUAGCUGGAAGAUGCGAAGAGGGGAGAAGACAGCCGUCCGCAGGGGAAGUGGCCCAGAACAGACCCUUCCCCCGGAGCCCUCGGGAGGAAGCACCCCCCACACCGCCGGCCCUGGAUUUUGGACUUCUCGCCUCCAGGACUAUGAGAAAAUAAAUGCUUGUUCUUUAAGUCA